CCGCCGUAACGCCGCGCCACUUUAUGUAACGUUGUUUUAACGUCAUAUCCUGUUAGUUUGUUAUUGUCAGUUGAAUUAAAGGAACGAACCUGAACACAACGUCUUAUUACUUACAAAGUCUUUACAUGUUGGUGCCGUGAUUAUUACAUUAGAAGUACGAUGAAUUUACAGAAGUUACGAUAAAAUAGAGGAGGUACUAAACGCACCAUCGCUAUUUUGCUGGAGAAAAUCGAAGAAAAGAAAGAGAAUGGAACGCUGAUAGAAAUCAACAUACUUCUAAAAAAUUUGGAGACAAAAGUGGAAAUGCUAGAGACACUUAGCGAAAAAAUCUUAUCAAACACGGAAACUGAAGAAAUUGAAGAUGAAAUUGUGGAAACAGAUAUUUACAUGAUGGAUUUACGCAUGAAAUUAGGCACACUUAUCGCCGAGCGUGAUCAACGGGAUACGAGCAUAGGGAGUCAGCAGCCGACAUUUCAUCCCAUGGAUACGCAGCGUGGUCGAGACGAUACGGGUGUAGGAGGUCAACAGACCACAUUUCAUACCUUAGUACAGCGUGAUCAACGGGAUACGAGCAUAAGGAGUCAGCAGCCGACAUUUCAUCCAAUGGAUACGCAGCGUGGUCGAGAGGAUACGGGUUUAGGAGGUCAACAGACGACAUUUCAUCCCUUGGAUGCACAGCGUGAUCAAGCGGAUACGAGGUUGGAAAUUCAACAGACGACAUUUCAUCCCGACGACACACCAACUACACUGGAGAACAGAUACACAUGCGUUACGUAAUCCAGUCGAUACCAUUCAUCUGACAGGAGGCAGAGAAGGCUUGAUGGUGGCGCACUGUCGCGAUGGCUUCUAUGGUUAAAGGGAGCUUAUUGCGGUGUUGAUAAAACGUUUCAGUGAUUUAGUUUCCAUCGGGAGACCAACACACUACAUCAGGUUUCUACUUGCAGUUUGACAAACGCUAUCCGCCAUAUGCUUCGCCAUGGAAGAAUAGUUUGCAAAUUUAUGUUUUCAUCUACAAAUGGAGCUGGUACCAAAGAUUUAAAUCUGUGUUAAAACAUGCUUCGAAUUCAAGUAAAAUGGAAUAUAUAACAAUGUAAUUUGUAGAUAUAUGCAUAAGCAAGCGAAGAAUUUCGCACGUGGAUUUGGUGUGUUAUGUGAUGGAUGCGGCGGAUGGU